rnacentral:rRNA from 1 species
UGGGGAAUCUUGGACAAUGGGGGCAACCCUGAUCCAGCCAUGCCGCGUGAGUGAUGAAGGCCUUAGGGUCGUAAAGCUCUUUCGCCUGUGAAGAUAAUGACGGUAGCAGGUAAAGAAACCCCGGCUAACUCCGUGCCAGCAGCCGCGGUAAUACGGAGGGGGUUAGCGUUGUUCGGAAUUACUGGGCGUAAAGCGCACGUAGGCGGACCAGAAAGUUGGGGGUGAAAUCCCGGGGGCUCAACCCCGGAACUGCCUCCAAAACUAUUGGUCUAGAGUUCGAGAGAGGUGAGUGGAAUUCCAAGUGUAGAGGUGAAAUUCGUAGAUAUUUGGAGGAACACCAGUGGCGAAGGCGGCUCACUGGCUCGAUACUGACGCUGAGGUGCGAAAGUGUGGGGAGCAAAACAGGAUUAGAUACCCUGGUAGUCCACACCGUAAAACGAUGAAUGCCCAGUCGUCGGGGUAGCAUGCUAUUCGGUGACACACCUAACGGAUUAAGCAUUCC